rnacentral:rRNA from 1 species
AUUGAACGCUGGCGGCAGGCCUAACACAUGCAAGUCGAACGAGUGGCGGACGGGCGAGGAAUGGCUGGGAAACUGCCUGAUGGAGGGGGAUAACUACUGGAAACGGUAGCUAAGAACGAACACCAUCAGAGGGGGGCAGAUGGGAUUAGCUCGUUGGUGGGGUAACGGCUCACCAGGGCGAAGAUACCUAGCUGGUCUGAGAGGAUGACCGGCCACACUGGAACGUAGCCACGGUCCAUACUCCUACGGGAGGCAGCAGUGGGGAAUAUUGCACAAUGGGCGCAAGCCUGAUGCAGCCAUGCCUCGUGUAUGAAGAAGGCCUUCGGGUUGUAAAGUACUUUCAGCGCGGAGGCGUUCCCCGCAGAAGAAGCACCGGCUAACUCCGUGCCAGCAGCCGCGGUCCUUC